GAUGAAGAACGUAGCGAAAUGCGAUAAGUAAUGCGAAUUGCAGAAUUCCAGUGAGUCAUCGAAUCUUUGAACGCACAUUGCGCCCAUUGGUAUUCCGAUGGGCAUGCCUGUUCGAGCGUCAUUAUCAACCCUCAAGCCCCUUUGGCUUGGUGUUGGAGACUGGCGGGGCGCAUGCGCCCGGAGCCACUCCCAAAUACAAUGACGGCGGCGACGAUGACCCCCGGUACACUGAGCUUCUCACCGAGCACGUGCUGGAAGGGUCUUGUGGCCACGGUCUGCCUCCCCUCAGGGAGAAUCUUUCUAAGGUUGACCUCGGAUCAGGUAGGGAUACCCGCUGAACUUAAGCAUAUCAAUAAGCGGAGGA
rnacentral:misc_RNA from 1 species